UACGAAGGGGGCUAGCGUUGUUCGGAAUUACUGGGCGUAAAGCGCACGUAGGCGGACAUUUAAGUCAGGGGUGAAAUCCCGGGGUUCAACCUCGGAACUGCCUUUGAUACUGGGUGUCUUGAGUAUGGAAGAGGUAAGUGGAAUUGCGAGUGUAGAGGUGAAAUUCGUAGAUAUUCGCAGGAACACCAGUGGCGAAGGCGGCUUACUGGUCCAUUACUGACGCUGAGGUGCGAAAGCGUGGGGAGCAAACAGG
rnacentral:rRNA from 1 species